rnacentral:rRNA from 1 species
AAACCGUUGAAAGGGAAGCGAAUGGAGUUAGCAAUUCGCCCCGUCAGAUUCAGCUGCUCGUGCGCCGCGACGUGCGUGCUCUCGAUCCGUUCUUGGACGAGACGCGCGCGGAUGCGGCGUAUGGACGGCGCACUUCUGGCGGGCGAGCGUCAGCGUCGGUUGUCGACGGGCGAUGAGGACGCGAGGAAGGUGGACCGGCGUUCGCGCCGGUUGUUAAGCCUCGUGCUCGUACGGCUCGACGGCGACCGUGGCUCUUUGAGGCGACGCGUGCCUGGCUGGCAACUCGUACGUUCGGUCCGACAUGUCGACUGUGGCGGACGGCACGCCUGUGCGCUCGAACUGCUGCCGGUCGAACGAACGAUGUUUGCACACUACGCGUCGAUGAUGCUGACGGCCAUACGGCUCUAUCCGACCCGUCUUGAAACACGGACCAAGGAGUCUAACAUGUGCGCGAGUCUCCGGGUGAUCGAAACCCGUGGGCGCAAUGAAAGUAAAGAUCGUCCUAGACGAUUGAGGUGAGAAGCGGGCACGUACGCGUGCUCGCCGCAUCAUCGACCGACCUAUUCUGCUCUCAGGAAGGUUUGAGUAAGAGCGUAUCUGUUGGGACCCGAAAGAUGGUGAACUAUGCCUGAAUAGGGUGAAGCCAGCGGAAACACUGGUGGAAGCUCGUAGCGAUUCUGACGUGCAAAUCGAUCGUCGAAUUUGGGUAUAGCGGCGAAAGACUAAUCGAACCAUCUAGUAGCUGGUUCCCUCCGAAGUUUCCCUCAGGAUAGCUGGAGUUCAUGUGUGCAGU